rnacentral:rRNA from 1 species
AGAGUUUGAUCAUGGCUCAGGACGAACGCUGGCGGCGUGCUUAACACAUGCAAGUCGAACGAGGUGCUUGCACCUAGUGGCGAACGGGUGAGUAACACGUGAGCAACCUGCCCUUGGCUCUGGGAUAGCCUCCGGAAACGGGGAUUAAUACCGGACAUGACCUGCUGCCGCAUGGCGGCGGGUGGAAAGUUUUUCGGCCAGGGAGGGGCUCGCGGCCUAUCAGCUUGUUGGGGGGGUAACGGCCCACCAAGGCGACGACGGGUAGCCGGCCUGAGAGGGCGACCGGCCACACUGGGACUGAGACACGGCCCAGACUCCUACGGGAGGCAGCAGUGGGGAAUAUUGCACAAUGGGGGAAACCCUGAUGCAGCGACGCCGCGUGCGGGAUGAAGGCCUUCGGGUUGUAAACCGCUUUCAGCAGGGGCGAAUUCAGACGGUACCUGCAGAAGAAGCGCCGGCUAACUACGUGCCAGCAGCCGCGGUAAUACGUAGGGCGCAAGCGUUGUCCGGAAUUAUUGGGCGUAAAGAGCUCGUAGGCGGCCUGUUGCGUCCGCUGUGAAAUCCCAGGGCUUAACCCUGGGUCUGCAGUGGAUACGGGCAGGCUAGAGGCAGGCAGGGGAGAACGGAAUUCCCGGUGUAGCGGUGAAAUGCGCAGAUAUCGGGAGGAACACCGGUGGCGAAGGCGGUUCUCUGGGCCUGUUCUGACGCUGAGGAGCGAAAGCGUGGGGAGCAAACAGGAUUAGAUACCCCCGUAGUCC